GUAAAUUAAACAAAAAUAAAGAGUGAAAUUGAUUUAAACGAUUAACAUAUCUUUUAGGAGUCAUAAAUCGUUAGAUACAUAACCUAAGAAAAUUUUGCACAUCUAAUUUGUUAAAUUAUUUAAUUGGAAGAGUUCUUGAUUCAAAAGAAUUAUUUAUUAAAUAAUGAGAUGAUUUUAAAUACGAUAAAGUGUUGUGAUUUGGUUAAUAUGGUCCAGGAAAGGGUUAAAAUUGUGUUUAACCCUGAAUUUUUAAGCUCAACUAAUCCUUUAUUUGGACUAGUUUAAAUCUAAGGAGUUAUAAAUCGUAAGUUUUUCUCUUCCUGCUUAUUCUCUAUCGACUACGAUUUGAUGAUUGAGAAACUCAACUUCACUGAACGAUGCUCCGACUGAAGACGCUUAUUUAAACUAAAAUGAAUCAAAUUCAUGGGGAUAAAUAUUUUCUACACAAGGUUAGAUACAUAACCUAAAAAAAUUUUGCACGUCUAAUUGGUCUAAUUAUUUAAGUGGAAGAGUUCUUGAUUCAAAAGAAUUAUUUAUUAAAUAACGAGAUGAUUUUAAAUGCGAUAAAGUGUUGUGAUUUGGUUAAUAUGGUCCAGGAAAGGGUUAAAAUUGUGUUUAACUCUGUAUUUUUAAGCUCAACUAAUCCUUUAUUUGAACUGGCUUAAAACUAAGGAGUUAUAAAUCGUAAGUUUUUCUCUUCCUGCUUAUUCUCUAUCGACUACGAUUUGAUGAUUGAGAAACUCAACUUCACUGAACGAUGCUCCGACUGAAGACGCUUAUUUAAACUAAAAUGAAUCAAAUUCAUGGGGAUAAAUAUUUUCUACACAAGAAUAAAUUUCUUUCUGAUGAUAACAUCGCUGUUUUGGGCUAAUUUUGAGACAAAUGAGUUGAUUUAAAACUCAAAUAUGACUUUAAUGUAAAGGUUAUCUUACUUAAUGAUUGCUGGAGGAAGUGACAUACAGAUUGUAAGGAUUUUGACACUGAUGAGAGUGAUUAAAACAAUUAUUAAUCUCAUUUUUACAUUUAUCUAAAUUCAGGUUUGUCUUCUCUAUGUUUCUUAUUACAUAUUUAAAUUAUUAUUAUUAACAAUUUACUAUUUUGACAGUACCGAUUACAGGAAACUGUAAAAUAUGUCGGUAAAAUAGAAAUCUGUACAAGUGCUAAUUUGUAAUAAUAAAAAAUUAAUAAAUUGUUGCAAAAAAAAA